rnacentral:pre_miRNA from 1 species
CCACGGCCAUGGCCAAGGUCUCUUGAGGCUUGGCCUUGAAGACUUUGGCCAUGUCCAUGG